rnacentral:rRNA from 1 species
UACGUAGGGUGCAAGCGUUAAUCGGAAUUACUGGGCGUAAAGCGUGCGCAGGCGGUGAUGUAAGACAGGUGUGAAAUCCCCGGGCUUAACCUGGGAACUGCAUUUGUGACUGCAUCGCUGGAGUGCGGCAGAGGGGGAUGGAAUUCCGCGUGUAGCAGUGAAAUGCGUAGAUAUGCGGAGGAACACCGAUGGCGAAGGCAGCCCCCUGGGUUAACACUGACGCUCAGGCACGAAAGCGUGGGGAUCAAACAGG